AUGCUCCACGAUUUUCUUCACAGGCUCUUUUCUUUCUGUCAUUCUUCUUCCCUCCUUUCUACUAAUGAAGGGCUUUGCUCUCCUCGACUUGUGCAUAUUUUCAUGCUUGGAUGAGAAGAUCGGCAUAGUCCUUCAAGAAGUUUUUGUUGAGGAAGAAGAUCAAGUAUUCAUCUUUGAGUUCUCGCUUCAUUGUCGACAUGAUGAUAGAC
rnacentral:lncRNA from 1 species